rnacentral:lncRNA from 7 species
CUCGGUGUCAGCUCGCCGGGACGCCCCGCACGGUGUCUCCUCCCGAUAACUUUAAGUGAAAGCUAAGGACUUUUUGUCCUUAUCUGCCAUAGAAGUGAAAGGCACUUCUAGAAGGAGGACCAGUUUGAGCAAAGAGGAAAAGACCAUUCCUUCCUACAACCCAGCAAGGUGACUAAGUGACUCCAAAGAAAUGAUGGUGAUACUGGAAUUGAUUUUGGACAUCGCUCCAGUUCAAGGUUGAAUUGAAAGAUCUUUUUGAAGCUCAGAAGAAGCAGGUUUCUGUGAUGACAGUUUUAUUCUGUGAUGGCUUUUUUGAGCCAUACCGUUGUAUGAAAUGUGGAAGAUCUCUAAUGUGUGUUCAUUGACACCACAGUAAGUGAGCUUAGAUAAAGCUUGCGCAGUUAGUAAACAUAGCAAUUUAGUAUGCUCAGUUUUGGGAUAAAGGAUAAGAGGCUCCAGAAAUCUUGACCUUCUCUAAAUUGUGUCCAAACUGAAUAGCUUGUUCAUGCUAAUCCAGUUAUUUUUAAUAAGCUUUUAAACUUCAUAUCAUUUGUUGUUUGAAAACGUUGUGCAGAUAUAUCGGUUGGAAGUGCAGAGUAUAGCAUCUCCUAAAAUCAUGGGACUAAACUCGAAGCAAAAUUUUACAUGGAUUCUCAUGAACAUUUCUGCUUCCAAAACAAAAAGAACAAAAACAGAACAGCAACAGCAAAGCAAGACCCCUGCUCUGGAUUCUAUGAUUGUGGAAAAAACACUUCAAUAAUAUGGCAUUUGCAUAUGGGCUGUGCAGUGUUUUCUGUCCUAAAUUGUUUCGGAGAACUGUCAUAGUGUGUGUAUGCAAUCUAGAAGUAGCUUUGAUAUUCCUGUUUUGGAAAGCAGUAACUUGCAAUAGGUAUAGUAUGAUCCUUAGGGCUCUACACAUGCAUGUAUGACAGUGUGUGCUUACCUACACACCUGCAUCCUUCUGUGUUUUAUGGAUGUUCAGACAACUGAAUUAACUGUGGAUCUGAUGUAUCCUGAUCUUGAAGAAAGCCUGAAGCGGUCUUUCAUUCAUUUCAUACCAGUCAUAUUAUUGACGACCUAGUUCAUCUCUUUUUGUAUUUGUUAUGAUAUAGUUUUAAACUUCUUUUCUUUUCCCAACUAUGUAAUUAAAUUAAUAAAAUCCUAAAUAG